rnacentral:piRNA from 1 species
UAUUGCACAACAGCUGUUUUUAACUCC